ACGAACGCUGGCGGCAUGCCUAACACAUGCAAGUCGAACGAGACCUUCGGGUCUAGUGGCGCACGGGUGCGUAACGCGUGGGAAUCUGCCCUUGGGUUCGGAAUAACUCAGAGAAAUUUGAGCUAAUACCGGAUGAUGACGUAAGUCCAAAGAUUUAUCGCCCAGGGAUGAGCCCGCGUAAGAUUAGCUUGUUGGUGAGGUAAAGGCUCACCAAGGCGACGAUCUUUAGCUGGUCUGAGAGGAUGAUCAGCCACACUGGGACUGAGACACGGCCCAGACUCCUACGGGAGGCAGCAGUGGGGAAUAUUGGACAAUGGGCGAAAGCCUGAUCCAGCAAUGCCGCGUGAGUGAUGAAGGCCUUAGGGUUGUAAAGCUCUUUUACCAGGGAUGAUAAUGACGGUACCCGCAGAAGAAGCCCCGGCUAACUUCGU
rnacentral:rRNA from 1 species